ACCUUAUCGAGAGUGGCGGAGGAACAGGUCCUGUGAAGCCCGGCAACCUAAUUGCAGCAAUGUGAAAAAGGUGCCAAUUCCUGCGGUUUAAGUACCGAGAGAUGAGGA
rfam:Ruminococcus sp. CAG:254 genomic scaffold, scf130